rnacentral:rRNA from 1 species
UGGUAAAAGAUGGCUAUGCGCCUUAUUAGCUAGAUGGUAAGGUACGGCUUACCAUGGCAACGAUAAGUAGGGGCCCUGAGAGGGGGAUCCCCCACACUGGUACUGAGACACGGACCAGACUCCUACGGGAGGCAGCAGUGAGGAAUAUUGGGCAAUGGAGGCAACUCUGACCCAGCCAUGCCGCGUGCAGGAAGACUGCCCUAUGGGUUGUAAACUGCUUUUAUACAGGGAGGAACACACCUAUGUGUAGCAUUGCCGGUACCAUAUGAAUAAGCACUUG